rnacentral:lncRNA from 1 species
GGGGUUGACUUCAGUGGAACUUGGAACAGAUGGCUUCCUCCAGCAGAAGAGAUGAAGCAGCUCUCUGGCCCUGCUAGAGCUCGAGUGGAGCUGCAGCUGCAGUUGUCCCUCCUCGGAGCAAGCAGCUACAUCCACUGUGGCGGAGAUCUCUUGGGGGUUGACUUCUGUCGAACCGGGAAAAGAUGGCUUCCUCCAGCAGAAGAGAUGAAGCAGCUCUCUGGCCCUGCUAGAGCUCGAAUGGUGCUGCAGCUGCAGUUGUCCCUCCUCGGAGCAAGCAGCUACAUCCACUGUGGCGGAGAUCUCUUGGGGGUUGACUUCUGUGGAACCGGGAAACGAUGGCUUCCUCCAGCAGAAGAGAUGAAGCAGCUCUCUGGCCCUGCUAGAGCUCGAAUGGUGCUGCAGCUGCAGUUGUCCCUCCUCGGAGCAAGCAGCUACAUCCACUGUGGCGGAGAUCUCUUGGGGGUUGACUUCUGUGGAACCGGGAAAAGAUGGCUUCCUCCAGCAGAAGAGAUGAAGCAGCUCUCUGGCCCUGCUAGAGCUCGAGUGGAGCUGCAACUGCAGUUGUCCCUCCUCGGAGCAAGCAGCUACAUCCACUGUGGCGGAGAUCNNNNNNNNNNNNNNNNNNNNGGGAAAAGAUGGCUUCCUCCAGCAGAAGAGAUGAAGCAGCUCUCUGGCCCUGCUAGAGCUCGAAUGGUGCUGCAGCUGCAGUUGUCCCUCCUCGGAGGAAGCAGCUACAUCCACUGUGGCGGAGAUCUCUCGGGGGUUGACUUGUGUGGAACCGGGAAACGAUGGCUUCCUCCAGCAGAAAAGAUGAAGCAGCUCUC